UCCCUUUUAGUGCUGUGGUCUUGAUU
rnacentral:piRNA from 1 species